rnacentral:rRNA from 1 species
GUCCACGCCCUAAACGAUGUACACUAGUUGUUGCCUUGCUAGACAAGGCAGUAAUGCACCUAACGGAUUAAGUGUACCGCCUGGGGAGUACGGUCGCAAGAUUAAAACUCAAAGGAAUAGACGGGGACCCGCACAAGCGGUGGAGCAUGUGGUUUAAUUCGACGAUACGCGAAGAACCUUACCUGGUCUUGACAUACUAAGAACCUUUAAGAGAUUAGAGGGUGCCUGCUUGCAGGAGCUUAGAUACAGGUGCUGCACGGCUGUCGU